AGGGGGCGCCGCGUUGGAACGCCCGAAGAGGUGCUGCUGGGGUGGUUGGAAGCCGGUGGGGGGCGGGUGUAUGGCGGCUAGGCCUGGAAGACCACGAGGACCGCUAGCGCCGUGGGGUCACUCUUCCUCAUGCCACAGGUUGCCGAGCCUCGGGGGAGAGGUGGGGUCCCAGGGGCCAACCCUUGGGUGUGUUGAUGGCGGCAGGCUAACCCAGCCAACGGGGUGCCACUGCCGGGCAAGGGAAGACCACAAAAGCAUCCAACCACAGUCUGCGCUGCAGCCCGGCAGAACUAAGUCUUGGGCGCCGCGACGCCUUUCCUACGGAAUAGGUCCUGGAAGGAAGACCAUUUAAGUCUUUCCCCCCAGGACUGGCGAGGAGAGCACGCCUUCCCUUCCGAAGGUGCGUUACCAGAUUGCUGCCGUUUUUGUGCUGGGUCAUCAGAGCAGAUUCCCCUCCAGGUUACAGAUUAAACUUAACUCUACCCGUGCUGAAAAUGGCCGGAGCACGCCGCCUCGCCUCCCCUCCCCAAGGCUGCCGGAGCCGCCGGCCCCUGCCUCCUUUUCGACGACUGAUCGUCCAAGGACUGGCGCCGGAUCCAACACCUUUCCCCAGCUCUGCGCGUACCGCGCUCUUUGGAAACGAAUUGGUCCCUGUCUGCUUCCAAGGGUCCCUGGAACCUUCUGCAGCUGUGCCUCUCCAGAGCUCCGCCUCAUUAGUGCCACGUUCCUGGUUUGAAAACCAUAGUACUUCAACCUCUUCUAGAUGGGAGUUAACCUUUGCCCUCUGAAAGAAAGGUUUGAUAAGCAAAGAGAGUUUGGUGAGCAAGAUCCUUGAGGUAAGAGCUGAUCUCUGACGUCCGCUGGGAACUGGCUGCUCUGCAGGUUUCUGUAUCACAUUUUCUGCACAUGUCCAUUAGAAUUGGAGAUGGGGCGUAUCUAGUGUUGAAUAAAGGCCCGGCAGGCCCUCCCAGAUGCACCCUGUCA
ensembl:lncRNA GNAS-AS1 GNAS antisense RNA 1